ACGGAGGGGGCGAGCGUUAUUCGGAAUCAUUGGGCGUAAAGGGCGCGUAGGCGGCUUGUUAAGUCAAAGGUGAAAACCCUCGGCUCAACUGAGGAACUGCCUUUGAAACUAGCGAGCUUGAGUUCGGGAGGGGGUAGCGGAAUUCCCAGUGUAGCGGUGAAAUGCGUAGAUACUGGGAGGAACACCAGUGGCGAAGGCGGCUACCUGGACCGGAGCUGACGCUGAGGCGCGAAAGCGUGGGUAGCAAACAGGA
rnacentral:rRNA from 1 species